rnacentral:rRNA from 1 species
UACGUAGGUUGCAAGCGUUGUCCGGAUUUAUUGGGUUUAAAGGGUGCGUAGGCGGCUUUGUAAGUCAGUGGUGAAAUAUGGCAGCUUAACUGUCAAGGUGCCAUUGAUACUGCGGAGCUUGAGUACAGAUGAGGUAGGCGGAAUUGACGGUGUAGCGGUGAAAUGCUUAGAUAUCGUCAAGAACACCGAUAGCGAAGGCAGCUUACUAGGCUGUAACUGACGCUGAGGCACGAAAGUGUGGGGAUCAAACAGG